AAAAUUUAGAGAUGAACAAUUAAAUAUUCAUGUGUGAAUAUAAAAUUAAAAUACAAUUAAAAUACAAUAAAACUGACCAUCCUCCCAAAAUCCCACCCACAACUCCCCAGUAGCAUGUCCCUCCUCCUCCCCCAAAUGCCUGGUGACACAGAAACGUCUUUAGCUGCUUGGGAAGGCAAGCAGGAAUGGGCUCAUCUUGGUCUCUCUAAUAGAUGGGAUACGCAAGAUAGGGAAGUCUGAGAAAUGCCACAUGUCUUGUUUUACCCAAACUUUUGAUUGUGUGAAUGACAUCUCUGGAUUCAUUCAGUGAGGAAUUAAUUACACAUAACCCUUUAUUUGUAAUGAAAUACUUCUGUGCUCUGGUAUAAAUUGCCCCCAACAGUUAACCCCCCCCCCCCCACACACACACAAAAAUAAUAUUUUAUAAAUUGCUAUGCACAUGAUUCCAUGACUGCAGAGAAUAGUUGGAUAAAUAGUAAAAGGUACAAAUGUACUAGAAAAGGGAGAAAAAGUGGGGUGAAAAUAAGAUAUGUGUUUUGCUUCUUUAUGAGAGGAUGGGUUGUUGUUUUGAUAUGCCACCCAACAAACAAUAUCUGUACGUUUUUAGGAAUUACCUGAAAAGUGGAAGCAUCUUAAAAAGAUUGCCUUCACUGUGAAGCAUGAAGUGGCUCCUCUACAGUCCAAUGAAGUGUCUGUUAUCAGAAGAAAAUGUGUACUUUUUGAGACUCACAAAGCCAUUCCAAAGCUGGAGGCAGAAAUGAAAAAGCUACAGGAAACAGCAGACCUUUUUGAAGUAACUGUACCAGACUACAAGCAGCUCAAGCAAUGUCGCACCAAUGCUAUCUUAGUGAAGUCUGUCUGGGAUAUGGUGGUGUUUGUCCAGAUGAGCAUUAAAGACUGGAUGAAAACCCCUUGGAAGCAAAUUAAUGUGGAACAAAUGGAUGUGGGUCUCCGAAGAUUUACAAAGGU